CUUGACUGUGCCUGCCAACAUUCAUUCAAGUUGAAAACCACCAAGACAGCAGGAUCUGCAUGAGGACUAAUUACUGAUCUUUGACAUACACAAUUGUGCAACAGCAUCUCAGCAAGAACAUUUUGGGCAACAUCAAUAUGAUGGCAGUAGAAGAAAAAACACCAACAUGCUACAGACAGUCCUAGCUGAGACUGAGAAAGAAAAACUCCAAACCUCUUCUAAAGGCAGAGCAUAAAUACUGCAGUUCACAAAGUAUUGCCAAGUGUUCUACAACUACUGUAUUUUGAUACAACUGAAAAAUACGAUGGAGCUGAACUCAAA